UCAGCUGUUUGUGCAUUUACUUUCAAAGACUACUGAGGUGUGCUUUUUGUUUUACCUUAUCAGUGCCAAAUUCCCCUUUGCUGCCAUUAUUACUAUCAGUUUUUUGAGCUUAAUUUUUCUUAUUUUAUAUUCUUAUUUUUUAUUCCUUUUAUUUAUUUAUUUUGUUCACUUAGUUGUGAAUGUGUUCAAAAUCAUCUUAGAAUGUCUGUUGUUUAUACAUAUGUAAUAUGUGGCUUACUGUUUUCCUAGGAGCUAAUAUCAUCAAAGGUUGCUUCAAGGCAUGUUUGCAGAAGUGGAGGUAACUUCAACUGAAGUGCUGUAAUCUUUCAAAAAUAUUGAUGGAGAGUUAUUUGAAUGUUGUUUGAGCUCUUGUCAGCAACACAUAUCCUUAUGAAGCAGGUCACGCUCGUUGUGGUGACAGAUUACCGGGAAGUUACAACUAAUUUCGAUCUGUGAUCACACUUCUAUUCCACAUUUACCAGGGUAUGCUAAGGAGCGCAGAGGAGCACACAGAACAACUUCAGAAUAUUUGCUAAAGCAACACGCACUUCUUGUUUGGUCAAAAGUAGGCUAAAUUAGCUUACGCUCAUUGCUACAGUAGAUAUCCUUAUUUCUGAUAUUUUCAGUUUUAAGUAAAGCCUUUACAGCACCUUUCCUGUCAAAAUAGCCACCAUCUCCUCAUUGCCCUCUUAUACAACGUAGGUUAGAUUACUUGCUCCCAUGCAUGCAGUACAUACAGAACUGCACUAUGAAGUUUCCUGUAAGAAGCCAAAUUCCCUCUAUAUCUCUGGAGAGCUCUGGAUGUCAUGGCGGUACUAAACAGCCAAGAACAACUACUUGCUUCCUCUUCCUUUGGCAAAGUCAGGUGGUGAGUUGAAGACUCAAAAUGGAAGGACUGGUGUAACAUUACUUCAGGUGAGUUCAAGUUUACAGUAUUUGAGUAAGAUCUUAUUAGCUAGAUAGUUAAAACCAUUUUUUACUCUGUAUGUCUUCCAUUCAAGUUGCUAAUAAGAGGGUUCUGCUAGAGGAGAGAAAUUCUUCACUCUGCUUUCAAACCACCCUUUUCAAGUGAAUGGAGUGCAUUCUCAUGGACAUUGAGACCGCCUGUCAAACACAACCAGUGGCAGGUGAAUCACCACAAAGAAUUAGAUUUUAGGAGCUCACUUGUAUCUAUAGUGUGCUCUCCUGGGCACUUGUAGUUGAGGCCUUGCUUCUGAUUCUUCCAGAAUAUACAAAUAAUUUGAAGUAAUACAGCCUGAAACUAAUAAGGCAGAACUUUCCCUUUUAUCUGGAACCUUUUCAGAAGAUGUGAGAGGUGCAGAUUUGAAGUGUCUUAUGCUUGUAAUCGUGAGAUCAAGAAUCCCAGACUGAUACUAGACUAACAGUAGAAUACAAUCAUCAUAGGUAAUGAAUACUAGGAAAUAAAAAGUAGGUAUGUCAUAAAUAAUUUUAUAUGCUUGCAAAAGAUAUUUACUUAUACAAAAGAGGGACUUAAAUUUUAUCAUUUCAAGCCAGCUCACUGUCUUUUAAAGAACAUGGAAACAUGACUAAUACUUUUAUUUGUUUAAUACAAUACUUUAAUGGUUUAGUAGUGAUGAAAAUUAAGUCAUACUGCUAUUAACAGUGCAGCUAUUAUAAAUGAAGUAGCUAUGCAAGUUUAAGAAAAUUGAUUUUUUUAUGGCUUAUAAAUGUUAGCAUGGUUAAAAAACAUGGAGAAAAUAAAUGAGAAGUUGACUAAAAGAUAUAACAAGUAUGAUCAAGGCAGUGUUCUUUCUCAAGCUUUCCUCAGAAUUGUGUUUCUGAACAAUUACCUUUCUCACUUCUGAGUAAAUGCAAAUGAGGUGAUCAAUUCUUUCAUUUUUGCAAUGAAGAAUUUUCCUUCUGAUAUCUCCAGAAUUAAGCCUUCAACUUGCUAUAAUAAUCAUACUGUGACUUCUCAGAGAUGGUGAUAGCAAAAGAACACAUCUGUUAACUGGUCUUAAUUGAUCUAUCUGAUCUUAGUUUAAUGGCAUCACGAGCAAUUAGUAUUCUGUCUUCUGCUUAAUGAUAAAGAAUAAUGACUAAUAUUCCUGAAGUAACAAGAUGGAAAGCUAAUGAACUAAACCACUGCAGGAUAAACAUUUCAGUUGGCAGUGAUGCUGCUGGCAUAGUGUGCGUACUCCAACAUCCUUAUGAAUCCAGCAGAUAUACAACUCCUAACUCAAGACAUAUAUGUAUAUAUACACAUUAGUCUUAACAAUUAAGACAGAUUGCUCAGUUUUAUUGUCCAUUUUUACUCUUCUCUGAGAUACUUCUGGCUCAGACUUGAAAGAAUAGUUCUGGUUAGUCUCCCUUCCGUUAUCUUUAAUAUUCUAAAACAACAGAGUAAAAAGCAAUUGCUCGUUUUGCUAAUAAUAGCAUUAAGCUAAAGAAAAUGGUUUCAGUAAAGUAAGGCUGCUUUUCUUUGGCACAACAAUGGAAAUGUCUGUCCAGAAACUGCCAGACUUAAAAUGCUAUGUUGUGAUUCAUUCAGGGUACUGAAUAAUGGAUGUUUAAUGCACCUAAGGGAUUGACACACAGUUCUACGUGAUACAGCAGACACCCCUUAAAAAGUGCACUACACAGUCAAAUGGUUUUGACUGGAAGGCUUCUUCUGGAACCUGUACGCUGUGAAUCAUCUUUUAGUUUCUGCACUGCAAGAAAUCACAGAUGUUAGCAACUGGUGUCUAUGGUUACUUGAGAGAGAAACAGUAUGGCUUUAUGUAAUGUAAAAUACGUUGAGACUUGAUGUGAAGAUGCCUUCAAGGAACUUUGAAGAUCAGUUUCUCUGGUCCCAUGAAGAACAAUUAAAUGAACUUCCUUACCUAUAAAGGCGCAAGAAAGCUCAUAGGUAUCUGGCUUUUUUCCUGGAAAAAUUAGACCUAUCAGUAAUGCUAUGGUUCUUGCUCACUACCGGCACUAUUAUUUUAACAGAGUUUAUUGUGCAAGCUAAAGACAACCAGAGAGCAUUUGGACUGCUUAAUCUUGGGUGCAUUUAGAGAGAAUUAAAGUAACUAAAAUUCUUUAAGGUGUUUUAUCCACAGCCAUUUUUCUACUUAAUCUGCAUUCCUUGCUUGCUGAAAUUCCAUCUGUGUUGCCCAUCCUGUGAGGGAUCUGAACAAUGACUGACAUCACGCAUUCCCUCACUUUAGUGGGAGCAUAAUACAAAUGCAUGGCAUUUAAGUAUAUAUAAUGUACUUUCUUUUUGUGCUUUUGAUAAGUCAGUUUAUACAAAUUAAAAAUAUUUCCUUUAAGGAUUUUUGUACUAGCCUAGACAAGCAAAUCAGGAGGUGAAAACAGCAAAGGAAAAAGUGUAUUCUGUUUUCUGUUACAUUACUAUAGGCUGUUAUAAAUAACAUGUAAAGUUUUGGGCAAGCAGCCAUCUGCUGCAGUAAUAGUAAGCUAUUGGAUUAGAUUGUACAUUCCUGAUUUGCUCCAUUAUUUUAAUGGAUUUAAUCUAUUUGGAAUGUUACUUAUUCAGGAGAAUGUAGCAAACAUAAUGUCCCUUGAAUUCUGGCAGACUUCCUAAGAAAUGACCACUCUGAGUAUGGGUUCUGCCUAAUUCUAAUCACAUUGACAUCGAGAUAGUUGACAGUCUUCAGAAAUAUCUAAGGGGAUAAUCUAGAAAUGGAAGAAUCUGCUGAUCCUCAAAUUGUAUGAAGGACAGAAUAAGGCAAAAUGUUUCCAGAGCGGAAGUUUAAUUUGAUCUUGAUUAAACAAAGGCCUUAUGUAAUACCAGAUACCAAAAUAAGGCCCAAUACUAAAACCUCAGGCAUUCAGCUGCUAGGAAAAUCCAUGUCUGUACCUUCACAGACCAAUUUAUACUGAGAAUUUACCCUCUCAAGCUUGUAUUUAAUAGUCCAUUGCACCUGGCUCUAUUCUCUUGUUUUCAUUUUCAAUCUGUCUUACCCAAAGAUAACUUCUGAUCUGGCACUCAAACAAUUAUGAUUAUUUUUCUAUUUAUCCUUAGUCCUUCUGUUUUCCAAUUCAGUGCAUUUCUGCAAAUUUUUCAUAAUAUUAUUCCCUCCCUUUUUCCUAGAUGACUUGAUGAUCUUACUGUUGUUUUUCUGAACUUGUUACUUUUCCAAGUGAACGUGCUGUCUUAAUAAUCUCCCUCAUCUACUCACUAGUAUUUGUGCUAGUACAAACCUUUAGGCUAAAAAUAUGCACGUGAAUGGCAUACUUUCACUCUGCAGACAACCACAGAUCGAAUUGUAUAGUACAAUUGCACACCAAAUCAAGACAAAGCUUACUUGCUAUGUCAGCUCAAGCCACUUGAAUUCUUAAAUAGCUACCAGAGAUUUGGAAUUGAGAGAGAAAAGUACAUAUUUUAAAAGUGAUGAUUGAGAUUGCUGUGGGGGAAUACUGUGACCUUACGUCACAGUGCAUGCUACAUGCAAUGCAAAUUAGAAGCAGAGCAUGAGAGAAAUACCUAUUAGUUGAUUUUAAAAUUCCUUAAUGAUCCUGGGUAACUAAUCUCACUAUCAGUUACAUACCUGAUUCCUCAUCUACAGCAGUUUCAAGAUACUCAUGUGGUUCCUAGUUUAAAGAGAUUUCAGCUUGGCUGCUAUUGUUCUUUUCUACUAACUGAAGAGACCAGCUUUUUGUUCUCUGUAGAGACAGCUGUAGAUUGUAAUCAAGCCAUUUAAAUUAAAUUUUGUAAACAAAGUGAAUGAAUUGCCUUGGAUGUGUGAUCAGCCUGUAUGUCCUUCAGUAUAUUUCUGUGAUGUACAUUCUGGAAACAGGCUUGAGUCUCCAACUUAACAAAACUAACAGCGCCAGUGUACAACCAAGUCUGGAACAAUAAAUUAUGUUGGCAGGAAAGCACAUUAGCUUGGACAUAGUUCUGCCCUGAUAUGAUCAUAUAAUACAUGCUCAGUUCAUAAAUCAGUAGAAGUAGAUUGCAGCAAGCCAGAAUACAUGGCAUAAACAUAUUCUUAGUUACUCUUAUAGCUCUAUAGAAACACAACCAAAUUUUAAAUGCUCCCGUAGUUAUAGACAACAUAUCAGGACACAGUAUUCAAGGAAUGCUUGUGCCAGCAACAAAUACACAUGUCAUUUCUGUAUAUUCAUUCAGUAUUCUGUCACAUAAGAUCUUUUGGCUGCAGAGUUAAAGCUUGUGUUUAACAAUUCACCAUGAAUCCCAACUACUUUUAAGAAUUACAGCUUUUCAGAAAGGAUUUCCUUCAUCCUUUUCCUGUAUUCUGUGUCACUAGCUCAUAGAGAUAUGAAUUUAUACUUGGAUACAUCCAAAAAGUCCAAAGUCUGAAAGGGAAGACCUUCUACUGGUAUUGGAUCUGACUAAUAAAAACAUACACCUGUAAGGUAGAGAGAUUGUAGUGUGCAUAUAUGAAAGGAAUGUAAAUCCAUUGAAUUUUUUUCGUGAUUACAGAUUUAAAAAAAAAAAUGUCAGCAGGAAAUUCUAAACAUAAAUCCAUUGACUAGUGUUCAUGACAAAUCAAUCUUAAUAAGAUAGAGGAAUACCAGAUAACUGGAAAAAACGAUUAUGUCCAUAUUUCAAAUGGUUAAAUUGAAUCUUUGGAUUAAGUCAGAUUUCUGAAGAAAAAUAAUGAAGAAGCUGGCAAGAAAUGAAAUAUAUAUAUAAGUGAUCUAGGCAUUCAUUUACAGAAAAGGUAGUUUGUCAGAAGUAUUUGAUUGUUCAAAUGGGACUGCAAAUUGGCAGAUAGCAGUAAAAAUUUGGACUGAUAUUUUAAGACUUUCUAUGAGGUAUUUUGAUUUGGAAAUCAGAAUAACACAUAAUCAAUACAGUUCUCAUUAAACAGAGUUAUUUCUAAAAAUAAGGGAAUCAAUUGCCAGUUGUUUUUUGAGAGUAAUACCACGAGAACUAGUCCUUGAUAUUUUUAAUCAAUUAAGAUUUAUUUGAAACAUGUUUUAACUAAAUAAUGUUGGGGAGUUCUUGUUACUCAGAUGGCAAACCUGCAUAACUAAAAUCUGACGAAGAGUACAAGUGGGGAUAUGGGAAGACUUAUCAUUAGUCUAGAAAUGUAUCUGAAAACUCUUCUGUUCUGUUCCUUCAUACUGAAAAGACCUAAAUUUGGUAGAUUUGACAGUUUUUGCACAAACAUUUCACAAGCACCCAGCAGCUACUUGUGCUGACAAAAAAAAGCCUCAGUCUGGACAGUGCUGAGAAGCUCAGCAGCUUUCUCUUCUGUACUCAUUCUAUAUGCAAGAAUCUUACAAACAGAUUAUUUGCAGCUUUCAUGGUGUGACAAAUACACAGAAAUAAGGUUUAUAACCAUCCUUUCCUUUUGAAAUCUCAAAUCUCUACAGAAAGGUAGUUUAGCAAGAAGAGUUGCUACUCUUCCCUUUUCAGAGCACCAGCGACACGCUUUUGAGAUGUUCUCUGUUGGACACAUGGGUCUCAUCUCAUCCUUAGACAUGUAAGUAAUUUAAUUUGGAUCUGCUGCAUCUUAAGUCCAUAGUAGUCUAUGUAAGUGGACUGAUACUAGCUGUAUUUGAUACUUUUCAGUUGUUAUUUCAAAAGAAGGGAAGUAUUUCUGCUCAGUAUGAACUGAAAACCUCAGGUGAUAAGAAAAAUGUCAAAUUUCUGCCUUUGAACUUUCCUGCAGCUCCAGUCAAAGCAACAGGUGUGGAAACAGCGAGACUCAAUAUUAAGCCUUGUUUGUAAAUAGCUGUUCCCUCAGCACGUGUGCUUUUCUGAACUCUAUUUUGAAGUCCCACUACUACCCACACAGAGUUGUGCACUCACUGUAUUUGGAGCACUGCGUUCUCCUGUAGGCCUUGCGUGCAUAAUUCACAUUCUACCAAUAAUCAUAAUGCAGUAGCUGUCAAGCAGGAUCAAAAAUGGGGUUACCAGAAGUCAAUUAGCUUUUAUGAUUAAAAUCCAGUUAAAAAUUUGUUUCUCCCUAUCCUACUCUCUCCUUCCUUCCAACAAAGUCUCUUCUCCUGCCACUCAUGAGCAGACUCUUAGUGUAGCUGCACUUGACUUUUGUAACACAAACAUUUUUUUUAGACUACUGAGGCAGAGCUUAAUUGUUAUGUAAUGCUUUGUGUUGGGAGGAAAUGGAGGAUGUGUCUGGAAAUGCAAUUAACAAGCAAAGUGCAUUUCUGUAAUUGUCAGGAGCAUGGGAAUAAUGGAACACGUUGCGUAUGUUACUGAACAAAAAGCAAGCCAUAAAAUACAUCAAAAAUGAAUCAUACAGUUAUCUGACUUACUAGAAAAUAAAGACCGUAUAGGAAUACUGGGAAUGAUGAAGGAAGGAUUGAAAUGCUUUAAUUAUAGACUUGUUUGUCGAGGUCACAAAUUAUGAUUUCUCAGUUACAGAAAUUUAAAUAUACCUUUAAAAUCAUUUUAGCUGUAUGAAUUUAAUAGAGAAUCAUAUAUUCCAGUUUUGCUUGAAUAAGGAUAUACAGGAUUUCUAGAGAUAAAUCUGAGUAUAAAAAUUUAAGCCAUAUUCUUUAUGUCAUAAAAAUACUCUCUCAAAGUAAAAUAGCUUGCUAAGAAAAUAAAAGCUGAAUCAGAUGUUAGAUUCAAAACAAAUUGAUGGAGUGGAAAUGUCACCCUUAAACACAGGAUUUUUUUUAUAUUUUUGGUAGAGAGUGUUUUUUUGUCUGCUUUGUGAAAACUAAGUAAAAAGAAACCAUGCACUUGUGCAUAAAUAACCAUAGUUUAAGUCAUUAACAUUUCUGUUCUUCCAAUUUGAAUACAUUUAGAAAUAAAAUCCAAGUGACUCCUUGACAGCAGCUUGGACCAUUUUCCUCCACCUGACAGUCUAAACACCUCUCUUCAUCGUCUUUCUGCACAAAUGAGGUAUGGCUGUGGUUGCAAUGUCAUGCCUAAUCUUGGUUUGAGAUCUGGAAUCGCACCAUGAGGAAAACACAGGUGAAAUCGUUGCAGUAACGAAGUGAAAAACAGAAACAGUUCCAUUCGAGCUAGCUGUUCUCCAAGACAAUGUCUUCUUCCUGGAUUAGAAAAAAAGUUUUUGAAAAGACUUGUAAAAUUAUUUACAUUACAUUUUCACUUUAGUGAGCAAGAAAUUGUGGUUUCAUAAAACAGAUGGAUUACAAACUCUAGAAGUUUUAAAAUCAAAUGAGUACAGAGGAACAAGACAAGCAAUAAAGAUAGAAUUCAUCACAUCUACCUUAGGCCAUUUAGAAGUUGUGCAUCUAGUCCAAGAAAACUGUGUUACGACUCCCUGAAUAUUUUCUUGGAACAUAAUGUAGUGCCAUAAGCUGACCUCCUUGGGAAAAAUACCUGCAAUUUCUGGUGCUGAACAGAGUGCUGAAAUUUGAAAACUAGCUCUGCAUAUCACCUGCUUGCAACAAGUUUAGCAGCAAAUGACUAUGCACGUUAAUUCUGAAACAAAUAGCACUUGGUUUGUAUAAUUUGUAUAGUAGUUGUCAGUUUGUAUAAGUUGUAUAAUAGUUUAUUUUUAUAUAGCAUUAUCCUAAAAUGUGCUAUGCCCAGAAAAGAACAUAUCUUUAAAAUAGCUGUUUCAUCAGAACCAUGGAUUUAAAUCAUGCUGUUCAUUUCUGAUUUAUUGUCAUCACUUUUGUGUUGUAUGUUCCUAGAUUUAUGCGAAGGAACAGUGGAAGGAAUCGUUUUUACCUAAUGAAAAAGGAAUAAAUGCAUCUUUCUUGACAAACUGUCCACUGCUGUCCAAAAAUCUCUCAGGAAAAAACACUUCUGGGUUGUUCCAGUAUUUUUCAUCAAAAUGUACAGAGUAGAGGUUUGUAAUAACUGUAGUGCCUUCAGGAAUAGAGUAACCACGUACAACAGUAUCUUUGGAGGUUGCGUGAAAAAUACCUAGUGGAACUAUGUUACAGAAUCUUAGGACUUCGUGGAGAACAGCCUCAGUGUAUGGCAUUUUACAUUUCUCUUCCCAAGCAGGCAUUUUGUUUGGGCCGAUGACUAAAUCGAUCUCUUUUUGAACAUGUCCUGUUAGGAAAAGGAAUAAGUGAAAAAUCCUUUAUAUUUUAUAGCUUGAAAAUAUACUUGUAAAAGAUAUUGAAACAUGACAUAUCAUACCAAAAAUAUAGUAGCUUAUACGUUUUUAAGGUUAGACCUUCGUCUUCCUCUUGCUAGUAGGAAUUCUUGUAAGCAUAUAUAACAGUAAUCUUUGUUUCAAGAUUAACUAUUAACAGUAAAAUCAUACUUUAAUAUAUUCUUUUGUUCUCAAGUUUACUUCUGUUUCAUCAAAGUGAAGGGAACAAGCAUGAGACUGCAAAGAUAAUGCACUUUAAAUACCUGAGUGGACACAGGUAACACUGAUAUUAUCUACUUGCAAUGGUGCUUGUCUAAUACUGCUGAGUCUUUGAAAUUGACUAAGUGUCAAAUCAUUCACUCUUAAACUGAAAAUAAUUCUCACUGUAAUGUAUCAGAUAAAAAGAACUGCAGUAGCAAGAUGCUGAAUGUAACUGAAAAGAAAAAAAUUCAAUCCUCAUUUUUUUAGCUAUUUUUAAAAUUAGGUUCAUAGGAAUAAGAUCACUCUUCAGAAAAAUCUCAAAGGCAUUUGGACCUCCUCUUUUUUUUUUUUUUUCCUCAUAAGCUUUCUUUGUUGAAACACAACCCCCUAAUUAAUUAAAACAAAUUUGCAUUUUUACAUUUCAUGUACAAAUAAUGAAAAUCUGAAUAGCAACAGGAAAAUUCUACCAAGAAUCACCAGGUUCUUCAAUCUGAUGUGACAGUAUUUCGUAUCAAUAUAAAGAGAUGGGAAACGGCUUAGUGAAAGCACAUCCUGUAAUGUAGUGAUUUAUUGGCAUGUAUUGUCAAAAAAAAAAAAGUAACAUCAAUUUUUAUUUUUAUCUAGAUGAACUGAUAUUGAAUUCUGAUCCAGGAAUGUAUUGUACUGUACAGUAUCUAAGAUCAGAAGAUUAUUUUAGAAAUAUAAAUAACUAUAAUCUAUUUUGAAUUGAGGUGCUUAAGGAAAAUCGAAAUUGCAAGUAAGAUACCCCAAAUACUUUUGCUGAUGUUUUUACAUUUUGUUAUCAUUUCUUCCUUAAUUGCAUGUAUUUAUUUUAACAUAUAGAUUUAGUGCAUCUACGAACCAAUAUUAAGCAAUGCAAUGCAGAAUGUAAAUAUAUUAGAUGAAAAAAAUCAAAUCUCCAUAAUAAGCUGUAAAACAAUUUAAUAACAUGCUAGAAUGUUAUUAUCAUACUUCAUUUUAUAAUUUGCAAUGGGAAGGUGUAUCAGUUCCUCAAAAUGUCAAAGUUCUUACCUUGAAUGUUUGGAUAAAGAGCCAUAAAUAACACCGCCCAUCUCAAAACAUUUGUUGUGGUUUCUGUCCCAGCUAUGAUGAGUUCUCCAACAGAGAAAAUUAAGUUUUCUCUUGAAUAUGUAGAUUCUGGAUCACUUCUGUUGCAAUCCAUCUCAUCUAAAUAUGCAUCUAUAAAAUGCCGAGGUGACUGAGGUUUCCUAUUUUCAGAGACUCGUUCUAUAAGCUUAUGAAGAAAGUCAUAGACUUCUGCUGCAUUUUUAAACAGCUGCUGGUGUUUCCCAAAUGGCAAGAUGCCGAUCCAAGGAAAAGCAUUAUACAAAAAUACAGAGGCACUAGCAGCUAAUUCAACAUUUUCACUGAAAAUCUCGAUCAUGUGCUGAAAUUCAGUAUCUUCAUACGUAAAACGUUCUCCAAAAAUAAUCAAAUUAGUAAUGUUUGAAACGGCAUUUGUUAUCAAGUGCUUCAGAUCAAAUGGUCUGCCUUUGUAGGUAUCAAUGGCAUCAAGGAAAAACACAGAUUCUUCUGAAAUUUUGUGUUCAAAGGACCUUUGACCGUAUCCAAAAGUUCGAAAGGUAUUUACAGCUAGUUUGCGAUGUUCUGUCCAUCCUCUGCCAUAUUUACUGUUCAGUAAGCCU